rnacentral:rRNA from 1 species
UACGUAGGAGACGAGCGUUGUCCGGAGUUACUGGGCGUAAAGGGCUCGUAGGCGGCCAACUAAGUCAGACGUGAAAUCCCUCGGCUUAACCGGGGAACUGCGUCUGAUACUGGAUGGCUUGAGGUUGGGAGAGGGAUGCGGAAUUCCAGGUGUAGCGGUGAAAUGCGUAGAUAUCUGGAGGAACACCGGUGGCGAAGGCG